rnacentral:lncRNA from 1 species
AGGUAGACAUGGGAAAGAAGGGGGGAAAGAAGGAUGUAAUGAAAAUAUGCAACUAAAGCUACCUAAAUGCAACAACACAUAACAUCACACACAAAAUAGAACGACACACUCACAACACAAGACAAAACACAACACACACUAACACAACAAAGACCUAAAACCGAACCGUUGGUCCCCGACAACGGCGCCAAAAUUUGAUGGGUGUCGCCGCCCAAACAAAUUUGAUUGCAUAUGAGAAAUGCAGUAUAGCUAGGAAAUGACUCCUAGGUCCUCUCUCAAGGACCAAUUUUGCGGUUCAAGUCUUAGGUCUAACACGAAAGGGGGGGGGGUUUGAAGGUGUUUGAGACGAGAAUUAAACUCAAUUAAAAUGCAUGAAAAUUAAACACAACCGAAUAAGAUAGAAAACAUUAAAGUAAAAUAAAAUACUAAAUUCAACAUUACCCAAACAAUUAUCUAAACAAAACUAAGCUAUUAAAAUUCCACACUAAAUUAAAAAGAUGAAGAACAACUUAACAUGUAAAAUAUUUUAAAGCAAAAGAAAUGAGAGAACAUAAUUCUCUUCCACCAAUUCACGUGUCCC